AUAUUUAUGAUAUUAACCUUUUAAGUUGUGGAGUUUAAGAAGUAAACAUUUCUUGAAUAUCUGUUCUAACCAGGUACUGUGCUAGGUUCUCUGCCCUUAGAGGGUCUCAUUUAACUCUCAUAACACUGUGAAGGGAUAUUAUUCUCAUUUUACCUAGUUACGUUCCAGAAAUUCAGUGAAAAUAAGCCCUAGCCUCCCAAAUGGCAACAAAAGCUACCUGAUGUAUGUGUUGCUAAUAGUGUUGGGACUUUGUUAUUGUUAUUUCUACAGAAAAUCUAUAAGCAUAAUAAAAAAAUACUUUGAAGGAUAUGCCUUGGUGGGUCAAGAUAUUCUUGAAAAUAAAGAAAGCUGGGAUAAGAUUUUAGCCCUUGUUCCUGAAACAAUGCAUAAUGACCUUCAACAGAACUUCCAAAAGCAUCACAGUUCACUUCAGCGUUGGGAGUAUUUGAAGAAGGCAGCCAGCCAAUGUCCGAGUAACAUCAAAAAUGAGAAAUGUGGACCCUGGCUUGAGUGGGAGAUUAUGCUCCAGUACUGUUUUCCACGGCUGGAUAUCAACGUUAGCAAAGGAAUCAAUCAUUUACUGAAGAGCCCUUUCAGUGUUCAUCCGAAAACAGGUCGCAUUUCUGUGCCUAUUGAUUUACAGAAAGUGGAUCAGUUUGAUCCAUUUGCUGUUCCAACCAUAAGCUCUAUCUGCCAUGAAUUGGAUGCCAUUUUCACUAGUGAAGCGGAAAAAGAGGAGAACCAAGCUGAAUCUGACAUCAAACAUAGAACCAGAGUUGUGGGUCCUUCUAGUUGUGGCAUGUGGGAUGCUGCCUCAGCGUCGCCUGAUGAGCAGUGCCAUGUCCAUGCCCAGGAUCUGAACUGGCAAAACCCUGGGCCGCUGCAGCAGAGCGCGAGUACUUAACCACUUGGCCACGGGGCUAGCCCCCUUGUUCUUUGUUUUGGAUGUAUCCAGAUGAGUGUUAUGAUUAUAAGAAGACCAGCCUAGCUCCUUAUGUAAAAGUUUUUGAACAGUUUCUUGAAAACCUGGAUAAAUCCCGAAAAGGAGAACUUCUCAAGAAGAGUGAUUUACAAAAAGACUUCUGAAGAUAACAACACCCCUCAAACCAAUGUGGAUAUCUUCUACCUUCAACCAAGAAUGAAAUACUUCGAGAGCUGUUUAAUAAAAUAAGGCAGAACCAUGUA